CCUGUGCAAACAGAUAAAAUCGCACAGCGGACAACCGGCAGUCCGGAGAGCCGGGAGCACCUCUAAGACGAAGUGUUAGUUUCGGGCUUGCGGUCACCCCCUCCCGCACGAGUCACCGGGGUGAUGCAGUAUGCGGGCACGAUAUUCAUUACAAUUUUUCCCUGUCUACUUCCUGCGAGCGCCUAUCGGGGCCGGCGGCCCAGGUUUUUACAGUAUCAGAACAUCAGUUUUGAACUGCGCGUGUCAGUUCGAUUACGGCCAGAGGCGCAUAUGGUAUGCGGAUCUGUUGAGAAAGUGUUUUGUGCGGUGCAUUUUGAUCUUAAGUUGCGCAUAAUGGCAUCGAGGAAUUGCAACUUGCCCCCGAAUAGGGCAGUGCGACGGCGAAGUGCAUGUGCAGUGUGUAACGAAGAAAACUUAUCCACAGCUUGGUGACCAGUCGGGCAAACUAGUGACGAAAAUGGCUGCUACUGCUCGAAUUGGUCUGACGGCUAGCCGAAGCGUUACUAGCGUUACUCUUGCCGUUACCAUCGCUAUUUUUGCUUCCCUUCGGUUUGCGCUUACGAGACUGCGAAGGAAAAAGGAUUCAGUGGACGGUUCACGUUGUGCAGCUUGUAGUACAGUCCACACGCAUUGCAGACUGGUUCACCGACUUGAUUGCGGCGCCACAGCGAAGUGUUGGUUGUGUUGCA